GUCACAUGACAAGAAAACAUGGCGGAUGCAGUACGUCGGAAAUCUAUUCAUACUUGUCCCACACACAUACUGUAAGGAACGUGCCGUUUUAACGGUCGAUAGGCUUCUCAUGAAAGCAGAACCAGCAGAUGCCCACCCAGUCUGGCGUCAUGAUCUGAUGUCUCCUGUGAUGGUUUGAUGCCCAAAUGACCUGAAGAACGCUUGAUCGUAAAUGAAUUCAGCUGUCAGCUUGUGGAGAUAAAAGAGAUUUGCACUGCAUUCACCCUGAACUCAAGAGAAGAGUGUGUGAAAGGACAAACACACAGACGUGCCACAGUCCUGUGAGACGAGAGCAAUGACAUCGCAUCAGCAUCGCCAUGGAAACACCAGGCCAUCAAUGUCACUCUGCGACUGUUUGCCUUGUUCUUCACAUUCUGUGUUUUAGAUAUUUGUGAAUAGCGGAGUGAAAACAUUUCAGCCCAAAAUCAAAGAAAUUUAAAUGAAAAGGUCAUUAAAUACAUAAAAUAAAAAUUAAUAAAUAAAUAAAAUAUAAAAUGUGCAUAAAUAAAAGUUUACAAGCAAAAAAUGAUGUUUGAUUUUGGGGUGAAAUAUAAAUGGCGUGUUCUUGACAUGAAGUCUGUCUCUCUGAAUCAUGCAAAAUCAAAGUCCCGUCAUGUGAUUUAUCUGCUGUGAAACACUCAUGACAGACAAAACAGACGACGUGAGAAAAUUGCACAGGCUUUGACAUGAAUUCAGUUCAACAGUUUUUUAAGAUGAAGGUUGUCAAAUAAAAUAAUGAAAAAAACCCACAUUUAUAAAUAUAAAUUAAAUAUUUUUUUAUACUAUUGUCAGCUGUAGGCUGUUUACAGUUUCCAAGCAACACACACCACACAUGCUGUCCAUGUAACCAACUAUAAUAACCCUGAGAAGUCAACAAUACAACCAACCAAAGACUUUUAUUUUAUUUUUUAUUUAUAAAUGAAUUUCUUAGUAUUUUUGUCUUUUUGUCCAGG